rnacentral:rRNA from 1 species
AAACCAACAGGGAUGCCUUAGUAGCGGCGAGUGAAGCGGCAAAAGCUCAAAUUUGAAAUCUGGCGCCUUCGGUGUCCGAGUUGUAAUUUGAAGAUUGUAACCUUGGGGUUGGCUCUUGUCUAUGUUUCUUGGAACAGGACGUCACAGAGGGUGAGAAUCCCGUGCGAUGAGAUGCCCAAUUCUAUGUAAGGUGCUUUCGAAGAGUCGAGUUGUUUGGGAAUGCAGCUCUAAGUGGGUGGUAAAUUCCAUCUAAAGCUAAAUAUUGGCGAGAGACCGAUAGCGAACAAGUACAGUGAUGGAAAGAUGAAAAGAACUUUGAAAAGAGAGUGAAAAAGUACGUGAAAUUGUUGAAAGGGAAGGGUUUGAGAUCAGACUCGAUAUUUUGUGAGCCUUGCCUUCGUGGCGGGGUGACCCGCAGCUUAUCGGGCCAGCAUCGGUUUGGGCGGUAGGAUAAUGGCGUAGGAAUGUGACUUUACUUCGGUGAAGUGUUAUAGCCUGCGUUGAUGCUGCCUGCCUAGACCGAGGACUGCGAUUUUAUCAAGGAUGCUGGCAUAAUGAUCCCAAACCGCCCGUCUUG